rnacentral:rRNA from 1 species
AUUGAACGCUGGCGGCAGGCUUAACACAUGCAAGUCGAGCGGAGAUGAGGUGCUUGCACCUUAUCUUAGCGGCGGACGGGUGAGUAACGCUUAGGAAUCUGCCUAUUAGUGGGGGACAACAUUCCGAAAGGAAUGCUAAUACCGCAUACGUCCUACGGGUGAAAGCAGGGGAUCUUCGGACCUUGCGCUAAUAGAUGAGCCUAAGUCGGAUUAGCUAGUUGGUGGGGUAAAGGCCUACCAAGGCGACGAUCUGUAGCGGGUCUGAGAGGAUGAUCCGCCACACUGGGACUGAGACACGGGCCAGACUCCUACGGGAGGCAGCAGUGGGGAAUAUUGGACAAUGGGGGGAACCCUGAUCCAGCCAUGCCGCGUGUGUGAAGAAGGCCUUAUGGUUGUAAAGCACUUUAAGCGAGGAGGAGGCUACUGAGACUAAUACUCUUGGAUAGUGGACGUUACUCGCAGAAUAAGCACCGGCUAACUCUGUGCCAGCCGCCGCCGUAACAC